rnacentral:rRNA from 1 species
CUGAACCAGCCAAGUAGCGUGAAGGAUGAAGGCUCUAUGGGUCGUAAACUUCUUUUAUAUGGGAAUAAAGUUUUCCACGUGUGGAAUUUUGUAUGUACCAUAUGAAUAAGGAUCGGCUAACUCCGUGCCAGCAGCCGCGGUAAUACGGAGGAUCCGAGCGUUAUCCGGAUUUAUUGGGUUUAAAGGGAGCGUAGGUGGACUGUUAAGUCAGUUGUGAAAGUUUGCGG